UCCCAGUCAGCGCACAUGCAAAGCAGAUGGCUGUGUCUCUUGGACGUGAGCCUAGUCCAAUGGAGCUAUUUGUAGAGACGCAUGUGCGGAGUCAAGACCGCUAAAAGGGGGUGCAGUAGUUCAUGGACAAUCAUGCUCAGUACUUCGUGGAGACCUAUAAUAACCGAUUGAGGGAGA